rnacentral:rRNA from 1 species
CGACAAGCGGUGGAGUAUGCGGUUAAUUCGACGCAACGCGCAGACCUUACCUGGUCUUGACAUCUCGGGAAUCAUUUGGAAACAUAUGAGUGCCUCGCAAGAGGAGCCCGAUGACAGGUGCUGCAUGGCUGUCGUCAGCUCGUGUCGUGAGAUGUUGGGUUAAGUCCCGCAACGAGCGCAACCCUUGUCUUUAGUUGUCAUCAUUAAGUUGGGCACUCUAAAGAGACUGCCGGUGUCAAACCGGAGGAAGGUGGGGAUGACGUCAAGUCCUCAUGGCCUUUAUGUUCUGGGCUACACACGUGCUACAAUGGCCGGUACAGACGGACGCAAAGCCGCGAGGUGGAGCAAAUCCUAAAAAGCCGGUCUCAGUUCGGAUUGCAGGCUGCAAUUCGCCUGCAUGAAGUCGGAAUCGCUAGUAAUCGCAGGUCAGCAUACUGCGGUGAAUACGUUCCCGGGCCUU